rnacentral:lncRNA from 1 species
GGGCGCAGCGCCGCCUGGCGGAGCGCGGCCCGGCGCUGAGGGAAACUGAGGCACGCGUCCCGCCAUUCCUUAUAUCAAACACUCAGAGCUUGUAAUUCAUCCUGUAAGAUUGAAAACUCUUUUCCAUGGACAGAGAUCACAGACAGUGUCUCUGGGGGCUCUGUCCAGGGGGGUUCCUGACCCCUGCCAGGGAAUCGCCGCGUUGUUGAGGAUGGAGAAACCUCAGAGAACAUCGAGUCCCACCUGUGGCCGAGCAGCGCUUUGUUCUGAGGGCUGAGUGUUCCGUAAACAUCUCCAGCGAUGCUCUGCCCAGCCCCUGCUUCAUCAAGCCAUCAGUUUGCUGAAAAUGUCCCCAGGGUGGACACACACAACAUGAUCCUGCCUUUUCUCUUGGAAAAACUCAAGGAAAUGAGGUGUUGGAGCAGCAGCAAGACACAAAAAUCCCAGCAGGAUUGGGAUUUUCAGCCCAUCAUCAGGAGAAUCCUUAGAGCACCCUGGUCUGGCCGGGCCACGAAUCCUAAAUGAUGCCUCACGUUUUAGCUUUUGUAUUUUUCACAUUCUGAGCUGCUUUGGUGUGUGGGUCUGGGCUUCUCAUUAUGGGACGGUGAGCUCUCUGCACAGAGAAUAAAUCCCUGCUUUAUUCUUUAGUCCAGCCUGUGCUCUGGCUCAGCCUCCACAAGGCAUCAGUUCCAUGGAGAAUUUUCCCUGAAAUCCCCCCUGGCCCAUCCUGAGGCCGUUCCCUCUCCUGUCCCUGUUCCCUGGAGCACAGCUCAACCUCCCGGCUGUCCCUGUGUGGGAAAUGGAUUUGUGAAGAAUUUUGUGAAGAAUUCACAAUUUUUCUUUGUGAAGAAUUUGUAAAAUUUGUUAGGAAGUUUAUAUAGUUUGGUAUAUUUGUAUAUAAAUAUUGAGAUGAGGUGUGUUGAUUCAGGAAGGUUAUAGACUAGAGAUGAUAUUGUUGAGAGAAAGAUUGAAUUCGAAAGAAGUUUUAAAAUAGGGUUUUGUAAAAAGAUUAGAUAUUAUAGAGAAUUAGAAUGUGUUUUACUAUUUAUUGAGAUUGAUAAUAGAAUAAAAUCUUGUAAAACACCUCUCAAUUACCCCAUCUCCAUAAAAACUAAGAAAACCAACAUCCCCUCCUGGCAGGGACUUGUGCAGAGCCACAGGGUCCCCCUGAGCCUCCUUUGCUCCAGGCUCAGCCCCUUCCCAGCUCCCUCAGCUUUUCCUGCCUCUCCAUUCCCUUCCCAGCUCCAUCCCUGGACACUCUCCAGCCCCUCCAGGUCCUUCCUGAACUGAGGAGCCCAGAGCUGAUCCCAAGAUUCCAGGGGGUCCCUCAGCAGUGCCAGCUCAGGGGACAGUCCCUUCCCUAAUCCUGCUGGCCACUCCAUUCCUGCCAAAAUCCAGGUGCCAUCGGCCUCCUGCCUGUUAUGUGUAGUAAAUAUAAUUCACGCCAUUUCUAAUAUGAUAUAUCUGAUAUUGAAUUGUGGGAAUCCAGAGCUUCCCUCUGGCUGCCCUGGGACCCUGGCAGGGGUCAGGAACCCCCUGGACAGAGCCCCCAGAGGCACUGGCUGUGAUCUCUGUCCAUGGAAAAGAGUUUUCAAUCUUACAGGAUGAAUUACAAGCUCUGAGUGUUUGAUAUGAGUAAUAAUUAAGUGUGACACGGGUGCAAAAGUAAAAUUUUAGGAUUCUAGAUUAGGGGUUCAGAGGGGACAAGAUGGAGGAAAUUGGGUGUGUCUUGUCCUUUUUCUCCUCCUUCAUGCCCUCCAUGUUUCACUGUGGUGUUGGCAUUUUUCUGUUGAUUUAGGCUAUAAAACCCGUUUGUGCCAGGAUGGAGGCGUGUGGGCAUGGAGGAAAACCUCUGCUGAGGCUGACUUCUUCUCACACACCCAGGGCCAACCCCGGGCUUGGCUCUGUUCUUUCCUUGUGGCUGGCUAGAUAGAAUUUGAUUGCAAAAUAAAUAUUUUAUUUUUUUCAUCUUAAUUUGGCUGGACAAAUUUUCAUU